rnacentral:rRNA from 1 species
GAGUUUGAUCGUGGCUCAGGAUGAACGCUGGCGGCGUGCCUAAUACAUGCAAGUCGAGCGAACGGACGAGAAGCUUGCUUCUCUGAUGUUAGCGGCGGACGGGUGAGUAACACGUGGAUAACCUACCUAUAAGACUGGGAUAACUUCGGGAAACCGGAGCUAAUACCGGAUAAUAUUUUGAACCGCAUGGUUCAAAAGUGAAAGACGGUCUUGCUGUCACUUAUAGAUGGAUCCGCGCUGCAUUAGCUAGUUGGUAAGGUAACGGCUUACCAAGGCAACGAUGCAUAGCCGACCUGAGAGGGUGAUCGGCCACACUGGAACUGAGACACGGUCCAGACUCCUACGGGAGGCAGCAGUAGGGAAUCUUCCGCAAUGGGCGAAAGCCUGACGGAGCAACGCCGCGUGAGUGAUGAAGGUCUUCGGAUCGUAAAACUCUGUUAUUAGGGAAGAACAUAUGUGUAAGUAACUGUGCACAUCUUGACGGUACCUAAUCAGAAGGCCACGGCUAACUACGUCG